UUAGGUUUCCCCAAAUAAUUAUAAAUAUUAGUGAAAAGCUACCUCCGAACUCCCAAAUUAACCGCUUCUCACCAUUGACGACAAUUCGGUGCAGCAGUCCAUCGAACGCCCACAUCUACUCUCUUAUCGACCGCCAAUCACCACCACGCCACACAGAAAAAAACCAAUUUAGAACCUAUUUUAGUGACCCUGAAAUCCCGAAAUCUCAUACAUGUCAUUGGAAUCGAUUCUUUUGAUAUAUUUUUGCAGGUUUUUGGAUAUACAUUAAUAGUUUUUAUUAGCUUAAACAACAUUCAGGUGCAUAUUUUUUUUUCUUCCAAAUCUAAUGUGGUUUAGUUUCGUUCCUCAUACUUGCAUCUUAUGAUUAUUUUAUUGAUUUAUGCAAUGUGCUAAACUUAUUUACUUGUAAUAUCUUGUGUACUUUUUUUAGGCAACACCCAUCGAAGUGUCUUCAAUACAUCAACAUUUGAGGUUUCAAGGCCUACUUUAUAUGAAGGUGGGAUAUGGUCUUGUUUGGAAUCUUUUUGGGGUUGUCCUUUCACCUGGACGGUUAACUACUAUGGGAGCUGAGAGAACCAAUGUGCAUCAAUAAACAAUCUUUAGGUAUCCCUGGCUUAACGACAUUUGGACCUUUCAGUUCCCUCUCGUUCUCUAGAUUAUUAGGAAAAUCACACCAAUUGCUACUUUUGUAUAUGCUCAUUUUCAAGUAAUCAUAAUCCAUAUAUUUUUGCUUUUGUCGUCCAUUAGUGAUUUUCUUUUGAUGAUUAAUCUUUCAUUUGUGUUUGUCAUCUAUAUUCUUUGUUUAUAGAUAUCAUUUCAAAUUGACAUCAAGGGCUGUUUCUCAUUUUUAUGGCUUUGUUAUACAAGAUGGAUUAUAAAUCUAAUAUAUUGGUAUAUGGAUUAUAAAUCAAAUAGAGAAUAAUAAAAUUAAAAAGCAGUUAAAGAACCGGUUGUAUACAUAAGAACUGGGUUGUUUAAUCAGCCAACACAUCAUCUAAGCUGUAUAAAAGAACUCGGUUCUUUGGUUGAGAACCGGACUAUAUGAUUGCACAAAAGCCUGCAUGUUAACCAUUAAAGGACCCGUUUCCUUUAUAGAAACCGAGAUAUAUUACAUUAAUAGAGCCCGGUUGGUGAACCGGGUUUUAUUAGGAUUUUUACAUAGGGCUCGCCCCAUAAAAGACCCGGUUGUAAACCGGGUUAUAUUAAGCUUUUAACUGGGUUUUUUAAUCCAUUUUGUAGUAGUGUAUCUCGGAUUUACAAAACUGUAUCGAAUUCGCCGCGUUCGAAGAGUAGAGACUAAGCUUCGUCC
rnacentral:lncRNA from 1 species